AUUGAACGCUGGCGGCAGGCUUAACACAUGCAAGUCGAGCGGAGAGAGGUAGCUUGCUACUGAUCUUAGCGGCGGACGGGUGAGUAAUGCUUAGGAAUCUGCCUAUUAGUGGGGGACAACAUUUCGAAAGGAAUGCUAAUACCGCAUACGUCCUACGGGAGAAAGCAGGGGAUCUUCGGACCUUGCGCCAAUAGAUGAGCCUAAGUCGGAUUAGCUAGUUGGUGGGGUAAAGGCCUACCAAGGCGACGAUCUGUAGCGGGUCUGAGAGGAUGGUCCGCCACACUGGGACUGAGACACGGCCCAGACUCCUACGGGAGGCAGCAGUGGGGAAUAUUGGACAAUGGGCGGAAGCCUGAUCCAGCCAUGCCGCGUGUGUGAAGAAGGCCUUAUGGUUGUAAAGCACUUUAAGCGAGGAGGAGGCUACUCUAGUUAAUACCUAGGGAUAGUGGACGUUACUCGCAGAAUAAGCACCGGCUAACUCUGUGCCAGCCGCCGCUGUAAGAC
rnacentral:rRNA from 1 species